UUCUCAUAUUGUUGCAUAGUGCCAACGGGGCCGGGCCUUUUAUGUAGAAGCCCAAUAUUGAGAGAUAUUAACGCUUUCCGCUGCUAUUGCUAACCCACUUGGCCUGAAAAGUUCAGUCGGAGAAGCAAGAGUGGAAAAAUGUCGAUCAUGCGGGGGGAGCCGUUGGUGGCGAAGCUGGCUGCGGUGGCCAAGUACGUUGUUCUUCCAGGGGCUAUGUUGGCGGCUCUGAUCUAUUCUCCUCCUCGAUAUGGUUCCUCCUCCAAGGGCGGUGAAUCCCCCAAAUAAGAUCUUAGUCAUCCUUCUUUCUCUCUAUUGGGGCAGCAUUGAUGGUUGGAUCUGCAUGCUUAUAGAUUUGUGCUUGCUUUGAGGUGCACGGGCAUGUAAUAAUCCUCAACUCGGGAUCUAGCAGUUGGAUUUCAUGAGUAGAUAGUUUGUGAAUGAAAAUGCUUAUUAUUUUGACUUGAACAACUUCGAGUUGUAGAUCUUUUUUCUUGGAAAUUGCUCAUCAUAAACAUUAUCUAGUUAAUCAAUGCCGCAUGCUGCCCCAUCAAGCAUAUUGUGGAAUAAAUUCUGAAUGAUUCAUAAUACUGAUUAAA